UACGUAGGGGGCAAGCGUUGUCCGGAUUUAUUGGGCGUAAAGAGCGUGUAGGCGGCCAGACAGGUCCGUUGUGAAAACUCGAGGCUCAACCUCGAGACGUCGAUGGAAACCGUCUGGCUAGAGUCCGGAAGAGGAGUGUGGAAUUCCUGGUGUAGCGGUGAAAUGCGCAGAUAUCAGGAAGAACACCUAUGGCGAAGGCGGCUCACUGGACUGGUAUUGACGCUGAGGUGCGAAAGCGUGGGGAGCAAACAGG
rnacentral:rRNA from 1 species